CGUACACUCCUACGGGAGGCAGCAGUGGGGAAUAUUGCACAAUGGGCGCAAGCCUGAUGCAGCCAUGCCGCGUGUAUGAAGAAGGCCUUCGGGUUGUAAAGUACUUUCAGCGGGGAGGAAGGCGAUAAGGUUAAUAACCUUGUUGAUUGACGUUACCCGCAGAAGAAGCACCGGCUAACUCUGUGCCUGCAGCCGCGGUAAUACGGAGGGUGCAAGCGUUAAUCGGAAUUACUGGGCGUAAAGCGCACGCAGGCGGUCUGUCAAGUCGGAUGUGAAAUCCCCGGGCUCAACCUGGGAACUGCAUUCGAAACUGGCAGGCUAGAGUCUUGUAGAGGGGGGUAGAAUUCCAGGUGUAGCGGUGAAAUGCGUAGAGAUCUGGAGGAAUACCGGUGGCGAAGGCGGCCCCCUGGACAAAGACUGACGCUCAGGUGCGAAAGCGUGGGGAGCAAACAGGAUUAGAUACCCCUGUAGUCC
rnacentral:rRNA from 1 species